rnacentral:rRNA from 1 species
AUUGAACGCUGGCGGCAUGCUUUACACAUGCAAGUCGGACGGCAGCACAGAGAAGCUUGCUUCUUGGGUGGCGAGUGGCGAACGGGUGAGUAACAUAUAGGAACGUACCGAGCAGUGGGGGAUAACUAAUCGAAAGAUUAGCUAAUACCGCAUAUCUUCUGAGGAAGAAAGCAGGGGACCAUUUGGCCUUGCGCUGUUUGAGCGGCCGAUAUCUGAUUAGCUAGUUGGUGGGGUAAAGGCCUACCAAGGCGACGAUCAGUAGCGGGUCUGAGAGGAUGAUCCGCCACACUGGGACUGAGACACGGCCCAGACUCCUACGGGAGGCAGCAGUGGGGAAUUUUGGACAAUGGGCGCAAGCCUGAUCCAGCCAUGCCGCGUGUCUGAAGAAGGCCUUCGGGUUGUAAAGGACUUUUGUCAGGGAAGAAAAGGGCGGGGUUAAUACCCCUGUCUGAUGACGGUACCUGAAGAAUAAGCACCGGCUAACUACGUG